CUGCUCUGCUCCCAUCCCCUCCUGCCUUGGGUCCCGCAGGCCUGUGGUCGUUCGUGGAAAGAGCACUGACAUGCCCUGAGCUGCCCGGUGGGAAACGCCUCCUCUGUGUACUGCAGGUAGAGAGCACACAGGAUGGAGGAAAGAACCACGAGCCUGUGGACAGCAUAACCGCCUACCUGUGUAGAUGAAUUGUCUGUGCUGGUAACAGACACACACCAUUUCUCAGAGUUACUGCUGUGCACACUGCCAGACAAAUACCUUCCGUUUCUUAGGCCAGCAUAUUGCAUGCAGAGUCGGCACUGGGAGUAACAACGUGUGAAACUCUGUCUUCACAGCGAGGAGUAUGAG